GAUGAACGCUGGCGGCGUGCCUAAUACAUGCAAGUCGAACGAGGUGCUUUUGUAGCAAUACGAGAGUAUCCUAGUGGCGAACGGGUGAGUAACGCGUUGGUGACCUACCCCAAAGUGUGGAAUAACAGUCCGAAAGGAUUGCUAAUACCGCAUGUGGUUAUCGGGCUUAGAAACUGAUAACUAAAGGAGCAAUUCGCUUUGGGAGGGACCUGCGUCCCAUCAGCUAGUUGGUGAGGUAACGGCUCACCAAGGCUACGACGGGUAGGGGACCUGAGAGGGUGACCCC
rnacentral:rRNA from 1 species